CCGAGUUUACAACUCCCAAACCCAAUGUGAACGCUACCAAACCGUUGCCUCGGCGGGAUUUCUGCCCCGGGCGCGUCGCAGCCCCGGACCAAGGCGCCCGCCGCAGGACCAACCAAAAACUCCCUUUUGCAUGCCCCCUCGCGGGCCUUUACGCUAUUCUGAGCCUUUCUCGGCGCCCGUCCGCGGGCGUCCCGAAAACCAAUCA
rnacentral:misc_RNA from 1 species